AACGAACGCUGGCGGCAUGCCUAACACAUGCAAGUCGAACGAGACCUUCGGGUCUAUUGGCGCACGGGUGCGUAACGCGUGGGAACCUGCCCUUAGGUUCGGAAUAACUCCCCGAAAGGGGUGCUAAUACCGGUUAAUGUCUUCGGACCAAGGAUUUAUCGCCUUUGGAUGGGCCCGCGUUGGAUUAGCUGGUUGGUAGGGUAAAAGCAUACCAAGGCGACGAUCCAUAGCUGGUCUGAGAGGAUGAUCAGCCACACUGGGACUGAGACACGGCCCAGAAUCCUACGGGAGGGAGCAGUGGGGAAUAUUGGACGAUGGGCGAAAGCCUGAUCCAGCAAUGCCGGGUGAGUGAUGAAGGCCUUAGGGUUGUAAAGCUCUUUUAGCCGGGAUGAUAAUGACAGUACCGGGAGAAUAAGCACCGGCUAACUACGUG
rnacentral:rRNA from 1 species